GAGAAUAGCUCAGUUGGUUAGAGCAUGGUGCUAAUAAUGCCAAGGAUAUGGGUUUGAUCCCUAUAUAGCCCA